GGAGAGCUAGUCUAAUUGGUAAGGCACCGGACUUGAAAUCCGGCGGGGGUUCGCGCCCCUUGGGGGUUCGAGUCCCCCGCUCUCCG
rnacentral:tRNA from 1 species